rnacentral:rRNA from 1 species
GACGAACGCUGGCGGCGUGCUUAACACAUGCAAGUCGAACGGAAAGGCCCUGCUUUUGUGGGGUGCUCGAGUGGCGAACGGGUGAGUAACACGUGAGUAACCUGCCCUUGACUUUGGGAUAACUUCAGGAAACUGGGGCUAAUACCGGAUAGGAGCUCCUGCUGCAUGGUGGGGGUUGGAAAGUUUCGGCGGUUGGGGAUGGACUCGCGGCUUAUCAGCUUGUUGGUGGGGUAGUGGCUUACCAAGGCUUUGACGGGUAGCCGGCCUGAGAGGGUGACCGGCCACAUUGGGACUGAGAUACGGCCCAGACUCCUACGGGAGGCAGCAGUGGGGAAUAUUGCACAAUGGGCGGAAGCCUGAUGCAGCAACGCCGCGUGCGGGAUGACGGCCUUCGGGUUGUAAACCGCUUUCGCCUGUGACGAAGCGUGAGUGACGGUAAUGGGUAAAGAAGCACCGGCUAACUACGUGCCAGCAGCCGCGGUGAUACGUAGGGUGCGAGCGUUGUCCGGAUUUAUUGGGCGUAAAGGGCUCGUAGGUGGUUGAUCGCGUCGGAAGUGUAAUCUUGGGGCUUAACCCUGAGCGUGCUUUCGAUACGGGUUGACUUGAGGAAGGUAGGGGAGAAUGGAAUUCCUGGUGGAGCGGUGGAAUGCGCAGAUAUCAGGAGGAACACCAGUGGCGAAGGCGGUUCUCUGGGCCUUUCCUGACGCUGAGGAGCGAAAGCGUGGGGAGCGAACAGGCUUAGAUACCCUGGUAGUCCACGCUGUAAACGGUGGGUACUAGGUGUGGGGUCCAUUCCACGGGUUCCGUGCCGUAGCUAACGCUUUAAGUACCCCGCCUGGGGAGUACGGCCGCAAGGCUAAAUCCCAAAGGAAUUGACGGGGCCCCGCACAAGCGGCGGAGCAUGCGGAUUAAUUCGAUGCAACGCGUAGAACCUUACCUGGGUUUGACAUGGAUCGGGAGUGCUCAGAGAUGGGUGUGCCUCUUUUGGGGUCGGUUCACAGGUGGUGCAUGGCUGUCGUCAGCUCGUGUCGUGAGAUGUUGGGUUAAGUCCCGCAACGAGCGCAACCCUUGUUCACUGUUGCCAGCACGUUAUGGUGGGGACUCAGUGGAGACCGCCGGGGUCAACUCGGAGGAAGGUGGGGAUGACGUCAAGUCAUCAUGCCCCUUAUGUCCAGGGCUUCACGCAUGCUACAAUGGCUGGUACAGAGAGUGGCGAGCCUGUGAGGGUGAGCGAAUCUCGGAAAGCCGGUCUCAGUUCGGAUUGGGGUCUGCAACUCGACCUCAUGAAGUCGGAGUCGCUAGUAAUCGCAGAUCAGCAACGCUGCGGCGAAUACGUUCCCGGG